rnacentral:lncRNA from 1 species
UGUCCUUGAACUCCUAUCUUCCUGCCUCUACCUCCCAAAUGCUGGGAUUACCAUGCCUGGCUCAGAUUUUUAGACUUUAAAGACACUAACCAUAUAACUUUGGUUUUUCUUGCCCCUGCCCCACCCAACUGCUGCAUAUGCUUUUAGAAUUGAUGCAUUUCAGUAUUACCAUUAAAACAUGAGAAUCCUUCUCCAUUUUUGUGGUGCUGGGAAUCAAAUUGAAGACCUAGCAAGUGCUUGGUAAGCAUUUGACCACUGAGCAACACUCCUCAGCCCCAAACAGGAUUCUUAACACUCAUGAAACCACCUAGGAGCAGAUUGUAGCCUCAUUAGGUAUUAAAGGUUCUCUCACUGUAUCAUCAGAGCUGCUAGUCAUUACUGGCAAUCAGUUUAAAUUACCAGAAAGCUGCUGGAAACACUCGCCAUUCACGUUGUUCGUAAGCGCUGCUUGCUGGCAUUUUGGUGUGUUUGGAGCCAUAGAGAGAGAGUGUCCUGUGCUGACCACUUCUGUUGCGUCCACGCUGCGUUCAUUUCCUGUUCACUACUAAUGGUGCUUCUCAUCCUCUGAUCUCUUCUCUCUCGUGUGUUAAACAAGUGUAUUAAAGAUGCUUCAUAAUGCCAACAACAUAGCAGGUCAGUGAACAUGAUCCCAUAGUAAAAUACAAGGGGUCCCCAAAAUUAGUGAUUGCUUCACACUUACUGCCCUGUGGGCUCUCUGGGGACACUGCAACAGAAGCCACAAACUUGCACAAAACAUCAUUUGAAAGUUUUAAUUUUACCAAUUUGAAGCUAAUUUAAUUUUAUUGUUUCUCAGUUAUAACCGUAAACCAAAAAUAUUCCAAAUGUGGGAAAUUAAGUUGAAGGGAAAGGUGACUUAAAACUUUCAAAUAAUGUUUCAUUAGUUUUGUAGCGUUUGUGAUUGUAAGGCAUCAGAGCUGACAACUACGUGGAGCUGUGGGAGCUGCCGUGCCUUUCCAUGGAAGCACUCUGUUCUCAAGUGUUCUUUGCCAGGCUGGGCUCUAGCCGCUUUGAUCACCUAAGUGUCUUUACGCUCAGUCAAGGGAGGCUAUUAAAGUGGUGGUAACUCACAUGGAACAAAUCAAAAGAAAUCAGAUCCUCAAACAGCAGGUGAAAUGAGCAAUUAAAACCCUGCGCGCUCUCCUGGGUGCAGGUCUCUCUCAAGCCGCAUCCUUGCAGGCCUAUGCACCGGCUUUCAACGGCAGGGAGCGAAGACUGGGAAAGGGAUGGCAGUAGCAGCUAAAGCUGAAAUAAUAAAAGAUUUGCAUCCUACAACUAUGUGCAUUCUAUUUCUUCUCACAUCUAACCUUGGGAGUCUUACCUAAAAAGCCUUUUGUGGGCCACGAAUACUUCCUCUUGAGGCUGCAAUGCUUCCCAUGCUCGUCAGUGCUGCCAGGCUCAUCACUUUCAAGGGACAGACAUAAGUGUUACGGAAGGAUGUAUGAAAUAUUACAAUCUACCACCUCAAAAAACAUUGUUUAUGGAGUUCAGAGCUUAGAGAUUCAAGUAUUGAUUGCAGUUUUAUUUUGAAAAGAAUGCUACAACUUAACGUGGUUUUUCUUUCUCAUGUUUAUAUUAAAAGCUAAUAAAUUCUAUUUU